ACGCUCGACACCUACGGGGGGCAGCAGUCGGGAAUAUUGCGCAAUGGAGGAAACUCUGACGCAGUGACGCCGCGUAUAGGAAGAAGGUUUUCGGAUUGUAAACUAUUGUCGUUAGGGAAGAAAAAGGACAGUACCUAAGGAGGAAGCUCCGGCUAACUACGUGCCGGCAGCCGCGGUAAUCUGAGCGGGCUGGCAAGGC
rnacentral:rRNA from 1 species